rnacentral:rRNA from 1 species
UACGUAGGUGGCAAGCGUUGUCCGGAUUUACUGGGUGUAAAGGGCGUGCAGCCGGGGAAGCAAGUCAGAUGUGAAAUCCACGGGCUUAACUCGUGAACUGCAUUUGAAACUGCGUUUCUUGAGUAUCGGAGAGGUAACCGGAAUUCCUAGUGUAGCGGUGAAAUGCGUAGAUAUUAGGAAGAACACCAGUGGCGAAGGCGGGUUACUGGACGACAACUGACGGUGAGGCGCGAAAGCGUGGGGAGCAAAC